rnacentral:lncRNA from 1 species
UUAUUCUUGUAAGAAUAAGAAACACAGUUUUUACUAUUUAUUUAUGAAAGCGCUAAUGUAACGUUGCGCUCUUUUGAACAACACAUUUUCCCGUUUCUGUUUUAUGACGUUACGCCUUUGACGUGCGCUUCGUCGUCUAGACUUUAUUUUGAUAACAUACGGAUGCACAUUGUUUUAUUAGACAGAUUAAAGUUGGUAAGAAACUUUUUAUGUAUACUAUCUUUUUAUUAUAUCAAAACUUAUUUAAAGAGAGAAAACAUUGUAUACUAUUUAUUAGAAA